GACGAACGCUGGCGGCGUGCUUAACACAUGCAAGUCGAACGGAAAGGCCCUGCUUUUGUGGGGUGCUCGAGUGGCGAACGGGUGAGUAACACGUGAGUAACCUGCCCUUGACUUUGGGAUAACUUCAGGAAACUGGGGCUAAUACCGGAUAGGAGCUCCUGCUGCAUGGUGGGGGUUGGAAAGUUUCGGCGGUUGGGGAUGGACUCGCGGCUUAUCAGCUUGUUGGUGGGGUAGUGGCUUACCAAGGCUUUGACGGGUAGCCGGCCUGAGAGGGUGACCGGCCACAUUGGGACUGAGAUACGGCCCAGACUCCUACGGGAGGCAGCAGUGGGGAAUAUUGCACAAUGGGCGGAAGCCUGAUGCAGCAACGCCGCGUGCGGGAUGACGGCCUUCGGGUUGUAAACCGCCUUCGCCUGUGACGAAGCGUGAGUGACGGUAAUGGGUAAAGAAGCGCCGGCUAACUACGUG
rnacentral:rRNA from 1 species